rnacentral:rRNA from 1 species
GACGAACGCUGGCGGCGUGCUUAACACAUGCAAGUCGAACGGGAUUUAGUAGACAGAAGCCUCGGCUAAAGAUUACUAAUGAGAGUGGCGAACGGGUGAGUAACGCGUGAGCAACCUGCCUAUGACAGUGGGAUAGCCUCGGGAAACCGGGAUUAAUACCGCAUAAAAUCGUAGAAACACAUGUUUCAACGGUCAAAGAUUUAUCGGUCAUAGAUGGGCUCGCGUCUGAUUAGCUAGUUGGUGAGAUAACAGCCCACCAAGGCGACGAUCAGUAGCCGGUCUGAGAGGAUGAACGGCCACAUUGGAACUGAGACACGGUCCAAACUCCUACGGGAGACAGCAGUGGGGAAUAUUGCACAAUGGGGGAAACCCUGAUGCAGCGACGCCGCGUGAACGAAGAAGGUAUUCGUAUCGUAAAGUUCUGUCCUAUGGGAAGAUAAUGACAGUACCAUAGAAGAAAGCUCCGGCUAAAUACGU